rnacentral:lncRNA from 1 species
UCUAUUGGUGAAGAUAUCCUUGUCUGAAAUUAGACUCAAAAAACACAUUUGGGUGGAAUUUUUUGUUACUAGGUAUUUGACUUUAUCCCACAUCGCUCACCUAAGACAACCAAGCUUAGCAUAUCUAAUCUAGAUGCUACUCCACCUAUUGCUAAUUGGUUUUAGGUUGGACGCCUCGAUCCUUUUUAACAUGGUAUCAGAGCUAGCUAUUGGGUGGCUUUCACGUGGUCAAGUCUUCGCCCAAGUCGGCUCUUCUGUGGGCCAAUCAUCUCAUCCAUCUCUACGUCACCUCCAUGUGCAUCUGGGCUGCACGUGCAGAGGAGUGUUAGACUUUAUCCCACAUCGCUCACCUAAGCCAUCCAAGCUUAACAUAUAUAAUCUAGAGACUACUCCACCUAUUGCCAAUUGGUUUUAGGUUGGAUGUCUAAAUCCUUUCUAACAUGCUAUUAGAGCUAGGUAUUGGGUGACUCUCACGUGGUCAAGUCUCCGCCCGAGUCGGCUCUUCUGUGGGCCAAUCGUCUCAUCCAUCUCUUCGUCACCUCCUUGUGCAUCUAGGCUGCACAUGCAGGGGAGUGUUAGACUUUAUCCCACAUCAUUCACCUAAGCCAUCCAAGCUUAGCAUAUCUAAUAUAAAGACUACUCCAUCUAUUGUCAAUUGGUUUUAGGUUGGACGUCUAAAUCCUUUCUAAUAUGAUAUUAGAGCUAGGUAUUGGGUGACUCUCACGUGGUUAAGUUUUCGCCCGAAUCGGCUCUUCUGUGGGCCAAUGGUCUUAUCAUCUCUUCAUCACCUCCAUGUGCAUCGGACUACUGUGCAGGGAGUGUUAGACUUUAUCCCACAUCAUUCACCUACGCCAUCCAAGCCUUAGCACUAUCUAAUAUAAAGAACACCUCCAUCUAUUGUAUUGGUUUUAGGUUGGACGUCUAUCCUUUCUAAUAUGAUAUUCAGCGCUAGUAUUGGGUGACUCUCACGUGGUUAAGUUUUCGCCCGAAUCGGCUUCUUCUUCUGUGGUCCAAUGGUCUUAAUCCAUCUCUUCAUCACCUCCAUGGUGCAUCUGGGCUACAUGUGCGGGGAGUGUAGACUUAUCCCAACAUCGUUCCUCUAAUUAUCCAAGCUCAACACUAAUCUAGAUGCUAAUGUCUUUAUGCCACUUUGUUUAAGGUUAGAGCUUCAAUCCUUUCUUAACAUGUAUUAAUCUAGGUAUUGGGUGACUCUCCAUCUCACGUGGUCCAAGUCUCCGCCCGAGUUGUUUCUUGCCGUUCGCCAAUCGUCUCAAUCCAUCUCUUCGUCACCCCACUCCACGUGCAUCUGGGCUGCACGUGCGGGGAGUCUUAGCGUUAUCCCACAUCGCUCACCGCCGCCACCCACGCUUAUAUAUCUAAUAUAAGGCUACUCCACCUAAUUGCUAUUGGUUUUAGGUUGGACGUCAAAUCCUUUCUAAGAUGAAUUAGAGCUCGGUAUUGGGUGCUCUCACUGUUUAAGUUUUCGCCGCCCUAAUCGGCUUCUUCUGUGGGCCAAUGUCUUAUCCAUCUCUUCAUCACCUCCAUGUGCAUCUGGGCUACAUGUGCAGGGGAGUGUUAGACUUUAUCCCACCUCGUUCAUCUAAGUCAUCCAAGCUCAAAACUAAUCUAGAUGCUAUGUCAUUUAUUGCCAAUUUGUUUAAGGUUAGAUGCUUCAAUCCUUUCUAACAUGGUAUUAAAUCUAGGUAUUGGGUGACUCUCACGUGGUCAAGUCUCCGCCCGAGUUGUUUCUUGCGUUCGCCAAUCGUCUCAUCCAUCUCUUCGUCACCUCCACGUGCAUCUGGGCUGCACGUGCAGGGGAGUCUUAGACUUUAUCCCACAUCGCUCACCGACGCCACCCAAGCUUAAUAUAUCUAAUAUAGAGGCUACUCCACCUAUUGCUAUUUGGUUUUAGGUUGGACGCCUCGAUCCUUUCUAACACUAGGGAGGGGUCUAGUAGUUUGCCUAUUGUUCAUUAGUUAUUCGAGCUGCACUAUCUCAAAAUAGAUCUCAAAACCUCAUUUGGAAUGGGAGCCAAUGGGUGUACAUGGUUUUCUUUGGAUGGAAAUGGUGUACA